rnacentral:rRNA from 1 species
AUAUAGGCAUCAUAAACAAUAUGGAGUAUACAAUUAAGUAAUAAAAGGGAUUCGUAAGGAUACCUAGCAGAUAUAUUUUAAAGGAUAUAUUUAUAAAAAGUUGAAGUGAAUAAUUUGAAUACUUUAACAAUCCUAAGGAAAACCAAUAUAAUAAAAUACGUUGGGAAUUAAAACAUUUAAGUACCAAUAGGAAAGGAAAUCAAACGAGACUUCUGGAGUAAUGGUGAGUGAAACAGAAUGAGCCUUAUUCUUUUGUCUAUUCUGUUCCAAUGGACUCAUUAAUAUUGUGGAAUUCAAUAUUAUGCUGUGUAUAUUCACAGUUACCAAAGACGGUGAUAGUCCGGUGAUAGUUUUUUAGUUCAAUGAAUAGAUGAGGAAUUAAAUAAAGUAAUAUGGAGACGGCUGCUCUGUAUGAAUUUAUAAUAUCUAAGAAAUUAGAUAAUGGGAUACCAUUCUCAAAGGCUAAGUAUAAUAUAUCUAGCGAUAGUGAAGAGUAACGUGAGUGAAAGGUGAAAAGUAAGUGUAUGACUAGUGAAAGAGAUCUUGAAUUACGAAUCCUACAAGCAGUUAGAGUCUAAUAGAAUUAGAUGAUAACGUACCUUUUGCAUAAUGGGUCAGCAAGUUAAUUUUCAAUGCAAGACUAAUAAGUCCUAGUGAAAACGUCUAUGUUUUCUUUAUUUAAAGAUAAAGAAUAUAUGGGUAGAGUAUUGAGAAUUAGAUCCGAAACCAGAUGAUCUUUUUAUGACCAGGUUUAAAAGGACCGAACGUAUGAAUGUUGCAGUAUUCUGCGAUGAGUUGUGAAAAGGGGUGAAAUGCCAAUCUAAUCUGGUGAUAGCUGAUAUUCUGCGAAAUCUAUUUUAGUAGAAAGUAUAUGUAGAUAUAUUUCUGUAUAGCACUGAUUUCCAUUUCUCGUAACCUAUUAGGUUGCACAUAGAAUAAAUUAGGGGGUUAUAAACUCUACUAUUGGAAGUUAACCUCAGAAGGAGAUACUAUCGGUCAUAUACUGACAGUCUAUUUGUGAUAAGGUAAAUAGACAAAAGGGAAACAGCCCAGAUCAUAUAUUAAGGUGCCCUAAAUAAUAUUAAGUGAAAAUAAGAGAGUUUUGUGUUCAAGACAGCUAUGAAGUAAGCUUGGAAGUAGCUAUCUUUUAAUGAAAGUGUAACAACUCAAUAGUCGAUUUUCUGGACACAAAGCAUCGAAGAUUUAUCGGGUCUAGAUAUUAAACCUAAAUUAUGAUAUUAAUGAAUUAAUUAGAUUAUUAUUUAAUUCUUAAUAAGGUAGCAGAACACUUAGUAGUUAGGUUGAAGAAUAUUCCUAAGAAUAUUUGGACUCUACUAAAGAGAGAAUGCUGGCAUGAGUAACGAUUAAGAAGUUAUAAUACUUCUCGCCGAAUACGAAAGGUUUUCAUGAAAAAGGUAAUCUGUCAUGAUUUAAACGGAUUCUAAGGUGUAAUAUACGAAUUGUUGUUACCCGAUGAAAUAGAAGAAUACUAUUCCUGAAAUCUUAGUAAGGAACAAGAAAAAUAUUCUUUUAAUUAUAUUAUAUCCGUACCUUAAACCGACACAGGUUCGUAGGUAGAGUAUACUAAGGCGUAGAGAUAAGGCUAGUGAAGGAACUCGGCAAAAUGCUUCCGUAAGUUCGACGAUAAGGAAGGAGUGUAUAUAUACCAUAUACACUUAGCAUAAAAGUGGGGGCUUCGACUGUUUACUAAAAACACAGCAACUUGCUAAGACUAGAAGUACUUGUAUAAGUUGUGAACUCUGUCCAAUGCCAAUCCGUGUAAGGGAGGUGAUUUUAGCGUUAGCUAAUUGUCACUAACUGAUGCGGUGGUCAAUGACGGUCUUAACCAUAAGGAUCUGAAAGUAGCGAAAUUCCUUGGCCAUUAAAUGUGGUCCUGCAUGAAUGAGGUAACGCGGCUAACUGAUGCGGUGGUCAAUGACGGUCUUAACCAUAAGGAUCUGAAAGUAGCGAAAUUCCUUGGCCAUUAAAUGUGGUCCUGCAUGAAUGAGGUAACGCGGCCCUGCUGUCUCCACUAGCUCCUCAGUGAAAUUGAAUUAGCCGUGCAGAUGCGGUUUGCCUUCCGGAGGACGCGAAGACCCUAUGCAGCUUUACUGUAAUUUGAUAUUGUUCUUGAUUAGAUCUAGUGUAGAAUACAAGGGAGUGUAAACGCCAGUGAAAUACCUUGAUAGAUCUUAAUUAGGAACUAAUUUAUAGCAAUAUAGAGACAGUAUCAGAGGGUCAGUUUUACUGGGGCGGUAGCCUCUAAGAAAGUAUCAGAGGCCUUCAAAGGUAUAUUUAUAUUGGUCAGAAACCAAUGAGCAUCUAUACGCUCAUCAAAGUGUAAUGAUAAAAUAUGCUUGACUGAAAGACUGAUAGGUCGAUCAGCUACGCAAGUAGGACAUAGUGAUCCGGUGAUUCAUAAUGGAAUGAUCAUCGCUCAAGAAAUAAAAGUUACGCUAGGGAUAACAGGUUUAUCGUUUGCAAGAGUUCAUAUUGUCCAAACGGUUUGACACCUCGAUGUCGACUCAUCUCAUCCUCCAGGUGUAGUAGCUUGGAAGGGUUCAGCUGUUCGCUGAAUAAAGAGGUACGUGAGUUGG